GACGAACAACCAAAGCCACACCGAAGAGGGCUCGAGACAGCAACACCACGAAGAGGACUCGACAGAGGGCUUUAAGAGAAACCGACAGGGAUCGACAAUGGGCUUUAAGAGAAAGCGCCUCGCCAGGGUUCAGGAGGGUUCGAGAGAGAGAACAAACGUCGAUGAUGGUUCAAGAAAGAGGGCAAAGCUCCAGCUUCAGAAAUGAGAGAGUGAAUACAGGUUCAGCUUCCACGUAAGCAGAAAUUCAUUUUUUAAAAAAAUAUAUUUACUUAAUCUGUAUAUAAAUUCCGCAGAUAACACCUGCUUCAAACUAUAUACGGAUAACUUAUGUUAUAUACGGAUCCUAUCCUUGGAUAACUUUCCCGCCACCCCGCGUCAACAUUAUAUACGGCAGUUAUAUACGGAUUAUCCGUAUAUAAAAAUCCGUAUAUAAUAUCCGUAUAUAAAUCCUUAUUUUAACAUCCGUAUAUAAUUUCCGUACAUAAUAGUUAAUUUAUAUACGGAUCCAAAUCCGUAUAUAAAAUUCCGUAGAUAAUGGCAUUAUUUCUU
rnacentral:lncRNA from 1 species